GAGAACAUUUACAGAGGACUGUGGGUAAAGCAAAGUCUUCAAGGGAAGAUAACAAAGGAUGAAACAAUGGUGUUGUGUGACUUCCUAGUGUGAAUCAUGGCAAUACAGUGAAAGACAGUGAUUUACUGCUUUUGAGGGCGUGCAUGUAUAUGAUUAACGGAUGGAAGUGCAGGACUCCAAGAUUUACUUCCUUCCCUUUCCAGCAGAAUUACCUGAGACGAGUAAAAUCUACUGGUGGAGUCACUCCAUUAUUCUUAUCUGUGGAGAUCUAGAUCUUGAUUUGAAAGUUUCUGAGAAAAUCUUCAGCUCAGACUUGAGGGUCAACUUUACCAGCUGAAGUGACUACAUCCUGCCUGCUUUCAGCUCCAGUGGAAAAUGCAUUAAUCCCAGAGUCUCCGUGAGGUUUCCUGUUUGAUGACAUAAUCAGAAAAUCCUCCUCACAUUGCCCUUGGGGUUGCUGUCUGGAUGUUAUGUUGUCUUGGAUCUGCAUUUACUGCUCAACCACAUCUAAUUUGAUGUCCUCUGCAGAUUUAAAAUGUGUGCCUUCUUUUCCGUCACCAAGUCAUCCCUGGGUUACUACUGAACAUCCUUCUCAAUUCCCCCCGACCCAUGGAUGGCUGUUCUCCAUUGUCUGUUUCACCAGAUGUCCUCAAAACAAACAGACAGAAGAAGGAAGUGGCUAAUGGAGCUGUGGAGUCCAAGUGUGACUGCCAAGAGGAAUCCAGCAAAGCCAAAAAGCCCAAGCAUGUAGCCCUGCCCGAAGCACGCCACACGCAUGGAAAACCCAGAGGAAAUGAGUGAGGAUCAAUGGGAAGAAGAGAGCCAGCCAGGAAGUUGAAGAUUUGUCCAGGAGCAGAUAGCUGAAGAGAGAGAGAGAGAAGAGAGAACGGCUUACAGCUCAGGUCCUCUCUCCAUGCUUAGGAACCACUACAAAUGCUACUGCCUUGAGUCUCAUUUUGUUUCCCUCUGGAAACCACAUGUGUACCUUGUUUGCAACAGUAUGGGCUCACAGGCAGAAGGAAUUUUCCUUGUCUUGGAUGAGACUUUUGACUUGGACUUUUGGGUUAAGGAUUUACAGAAAGCGUGGUGCUGGCAUCUGAUCAGCUUCUGGGGUGGCCUCAGGAAGCUUACAAUCAUGGUGGCAUUUGAAGUGGAAGCGAGAGAGAGAAGAGGAGAUGCAACACACUUUUAAACAAGAUUUCAGGAGAACUCAUUCACUAUGUUCUGGAGACCAGAAGGCCAAAAUCAAAAGUAUGGGCAGGCUUGAUUUCUUUAGAAGACUCCAGCGGAGAACUGUGUCUCCUUGCUUCUGAUUCUACAUCUCCAUCCAUGGGCCACUGUUUCAGCAACCUCAGCCAGUGCAACACAACCUCAGCCAAGAAGAGUAUGCAGAGAAAGGAGUCCCCUACCUGCCACAAAACUGUUGUCUGAAAACUGUCUCAUAUUGUCUCAAGUUGUCAUUCAUUGUGAAUUAGACCUGUUUAACAUGUAA
rnacentral:lncRNA from 1 species